rnacentral:rRNA from 1 species
GAUGAACGCUGGCGGCGUGCCUAAUACAUGCAAGUCGAGCGAACAGACGAGGAACUUGCUCCUCUGACGUUAGCGGCGGACGGGUGAGUAACACGUGGAUAACCUACCUAUAAGACUGGGAUAACUUCGGGAAACCGUAGCUAAUACCGGAUAAUAUAUUUAACCGCAUGGUUCAAUAGUGAAAGACGGUUUUGCUGUCACUUAUAGCUGGAUCCGCGCCGCAUUAGCUAGUUGGUAAGGUAACGGCUUACCAAGGCAACGAUGCGUAGCCGACCUGAGAGGGUGAUCGGCCACACUGGAACUGAGACACGGUCCAGACUCCUACGGGAGGCAGCAGUAGGGAAUCUUCCGCAAUGGGCGAAAGCUUGACGGAGCAACGCCGCGUGAGUGAUGAAGGUCUUCGGAUCGUAAAACUCUGUUAUUAGGGAAGAACAAAUGUGUAAGUAACUAUGCACGUCUUGACGGUACCUAAUCAGAAAGCCACGGCUAACUACGUG